rnacentral:lncRNA from 1 species
AGAUGUUCUGGUUUAUGAUUUCAGCUUCAGAGAACACAACCCUCUGAGAUCUAAGCUCAUGUAUCUCUCCCUGGCAUGCUGCCUGUUCAUUAACUGAACACUAAGGUCCAUUUGAGACUGACAACUAAAUGCUGAGACUAUUGGAACCCCUUUUUCCUACCUUCAAGGAGGUCUAGGAUCCUAUGGAGUAGUUAAGUGUUAGGCCCAGAUGCCUAGUUGCUGUACUUGCUAGAAAGUGACAAAGCACAGACUACCAAAAAGAUUCUGUCCAGAUGCCAGAACCAUGUCAGAUACAAAGUCACAUACAGCUGCUGUCUUUUCCAGUUUGGAUAAGCCAGAGGACAAUGUAUUCUCUCUCCUUUCGAAGACAGAGUAGGGACUAAACUCAUGGAGGUCUCAGAUCCUGGUUCCUGGUGAUGUGGUUAUGGCAAGCAUCCCUGAGACAAAACAAUGACGGAGCGGUGGAAAAACAAAACAAAACAGCUGCAGUAGGAUGGCAUACUCUGAGCUUGGUCUGAGGUACAGAUGUUCAGGAGUUCCAACUGCCUGCUGCUGCUGUUGGAUGAAGGCUAUAAGAAGAGUCCAAGUACUCUCACUGAAGGAUCUCAUAGCAUGGAAUGUACGUGCCAGGACACCUAGAACUUUCUGGAAUACAGAAAUGAUGGAAUAACUGAGGGAAGGGAAGUGAAGUAUGCAGCUGAAUUCCAGAAAAAACACGGUCCUGACAGUUCAUAUCUGAACCAGUCCUAGUCUGUCUUCCUAACUCUCCUACCAUCUACCCUGAAUGCU